rnacentral:rRNA from 1 species
AACGAACGCUGGCGGCAGGCUUAACACAUGCAAGUCGAACGCACCGCAAGGUGAGUGGCAGACGGGUGAGUAACACGUGGGGAUCUGCCCAAUGGUACGGAAUAGCUCCGGGAAACUGGAAUUAAUACCGUAUGUGCCCUUCGGGGGAAAGAUUUAUCGCCAUUGGAUGAACCCGCGUCGGAUUAGCUAGUUGGUGUGGUAAAGGCGCACCAAGGCGACGAUCCGUAGCUGGUCUGAGAGGAUGAUCAGCCACACUGGGACUGAGACACGGCCCAGACUCCUACGGGAGGCAGCAGUGGGGAAUAUUGGACAAUGGGCGCAAGCCUGAUCCAGCCAUGCCGCGUGAGUGAUGAAGGCCCUAGGGUUGUAAAGCUCUUUCGCCGACGAAGAUAAUGACGGUAGUCGGAGAAGAAGCCCCGGCUAACUUCGUGCCAGCCGCCGCAGUAAAAC